UACGUAGGUGGCAAGCGUUUGUCCGGAUUUAUUGGGUUUAAAGGGUGCGUAGGCGGCUUGAUAAGUCAGUGGUGAAAGCCGAUCGCUUAACGAUCGAAUUGCCAUUGAUAUUGCCAGGCUUGAGUACAGUUGAGGUAGGCGGAAUUGACAGUGUAGCGGUGAAAUGGCAUAGAUAUUGUCAAGAACACCAAUUGCGAAGGCAGCUUACUAAAGUGUAACUGACGCUGAGGCACGAAAGUGCGGGGAUCAAACAGG
rnacentral:rRNA from 1 species